rnacentral:lncRNA from 1 species
CAAAUUCUCGCUUAAAAUCCAAAUGGAAGGCUUCCAUUUGUUUCUCAUUUCUCAAUUAGUUGACUAUAGGUCAACGAUUAUAUAUAUAUAUAUAUCAAAGCAACCUAAACCCAACCUUUCUUCUCCAUUCCCAUACAUUUUCCUUGCCCCCAAGUCGCCGCUACUAGCUCCCAGGCGAUCCAUCGCCACCACCAUCCAAGCUGCUAGAUGUCAUCGCCAUCGCCAUCGCCACUACCACCCAAUAAAGGAAGAAUGAGAGUGUGACGAUUUCUUUUCUUUAGAUUUGAAAAUUGAAUUUGAUUUUCAAAUUAGAUUUGAUUUCGAGAUUUUGUUAUUGUUGUGUGUAAGUAGUGAUUCUAGUGAAUGAAAGUGAUGAUGGUGGUGAGGAAAAACGAUGGUGAAUGCGGCAGUUAGAUGGUGGCAAUGGCAUGAAUGUUUACUGCACAACUUGUUCACCUUGUAUAUUUCUAUUCCCAAAUUGCACUUUUUAUGUCAAAAAUCAAAUCUUAUUUUGUGGACAAUUGAGUUGUGUUGGUUGUGGAUUUGAAGUGGAAAUGUUGUGGUGUGAUCGAGGUGGAGAUGUCAGAGGUGGCGCUGACAUUGGGUGGGUGCAAUGGUGUUGUUUGGUGAUGGGGAUGGUUUUGGGGUGAGUAUAUGUGGGGAGGAUGAAGAAGAAGUUAUUUGAUUUUUGAUUUUAAUUAUUUUAUUUAAGUUAUUUUAUUAUAAAAAAUAUAAAGCUACUAUUUUAA